UGCAUCAAAGAAAUGUAUGCGGCCUCCUCGUCUCUGUGAUGUACUCGGCAUCUCCCUUAAUACCGUUGCAGAGGCUAUGCGUGAUUUUGGCCUCGGCAAGGAGGUAAAUUGUACUACUAAGGUACUUGAUGUUCUUAAAGAGGUGCAAGGGUUGACCAACUCAGAAUUUAUUGAAGUUCGUCAACUGUUGAGCAGGGAUGAGAAGCUGGCAUCGUUUUUUGUUAGUCUUCGACCCGAGAGGCGCGUUGAGUGGUUGAGGAGAACACUUCGCGAGAAUCAUCUCAAUGCAGGAGUUGGGUCGGUCUAACAUGCUCUUACCCGUCGUUGUGUUGAUCUUUUGUUUUAUGGGACUGUAAUAACUUUUUAUACGCUGGGGACUGUUUGUUUUUUACUUUUUUUUGGAUGUUUGGAUGACAUAAUUAGUAUAUCAUGUCUACUACUUUGAUUGGUGUGGUAAUACUCUGAUUUAUUGGUUUCAUAUAUUUUAUAUAAGUUCCGCCACAUGCUUGUUGCUCAGCACAUUAAGACAGAUAGAGCCACACACAUCGUAUGGACGAAGGAUGGCAAAAGAGAAAUACUAUGUUGUUCUCGUGGGCCGUCGACCAGGCAUUUAUCUGACGUGGGACGAUGCUAGGCUGGAGGUUGAAGGAUUCAGUGGAGGGAGACAUCGGGUAUUCAAGAAUUGGAGGGAAGCAGUUUCCUGCUAGGAGAGUUACUUCGGUGGGAUUGGUGCACAAUUGCGGCCUGCCACAGAAACUCAUACGGUUCAUGUCGCCGCACAGUUAGACGAGGUCGACAUCCAUCGUUCGUCGAUUUCGUCUAUCCAUCAGUCGCCCCAUGGCAGGGUCUCCAAGUCCAUGACAACUGAUGAUCUUGCCCCAUCCUGUGGAGAGAGUUUCUGUGGACUUUUGAUUGGCAUUCUCGUUAUUUUCUUUGCAUUGCUUAUCAUUAUUAAAUUCUAGCUGUAGAGGUUCUGUAACAUAAUGAAUAUUAUUUUUUGGUUGUU